AUAUUUGACAAUGGGGGCAACCCUGAUCCAGCCAUGCCGCGGGUGUGAAGAAGGUCUUCGGAUUGUAAAGCACUUUAAGUUGGGAGGAAGGGCUUUAGGCUAAUUCCCUUAAGUUUUGACGUUACCAACAGAAUAAGCACCCGCUAACUCUGUUCCAGCAGCCGCGGUAAUACAGAGGGUGCAAGCGUUAAUCGGAAUUACUGGGCGUAAAGCGCGCGUAGGUGGUUCAGUAAGAUGGGUGUGAAAUCCCCGGGCUUAACCGUGGGACUGCAUUUGAAACUGGCGGGCUUGAGUAUCGGAGAGGGUAGUGGAAUUCCCAGUGUAGCGGUGGAAUGCGUAGAUAUUGGGAGGAACACCAGUGGCGAAGGCGACUACCUGGACUGAUACUGACACUGAGGUGCGAAAGCGUGGGGAGCAAACA
rnacentral:rRNA from 1 species